ACUCCAAGCUCUGAGCUUCCUCUUCCCACACCAGAGACUCCAGCCAGGAUCUUUCAGUUCUCCUCUCAGCUGGCUGACUCUCCAGCUGAAGAUCAAACUGUGCAACCACAAACCAAAAUAGAAGAUGCAGCUCUGUCACCUUUGCCCCUUCUGUCUACACCAUCUUCAGCAUGUACUGGACCCAUAAAGACUCGGGGAGAGUCUUUGUGUUGGACCAUCUGCGCUGGCCUGCUCCCAUGAAAGAAGUCAUUGUUGACAUGCUGAAGCUAGUGGACCAGGACUAUGCUGCUCUGGUUCAAAGCUCCUGCCGAGACCCAAACAUCAUGCUCCACCCCUCAACAAGACAUCACAUAUCCCGGUACAUCAAACACCUUGCCAAACUCCUGAACACGCCCAUAUCCCUGAACACCAGCCCAGAAAAGCUCCAGGACCGACAAAGGCUGUGGCAUUCUCUCACAUCAGGAAAUGAGACCACCAGUGUCCCAGUUGUGCAGAUGUCUGAUCAUGUGUAGAUCAAUCCAAAGAGGAAUAUGAAUACAAUGACACUCCUGAGGUUAGUCAAGACUUGAACACCUUUAAUUACAAUGGCAAUAUGCUCUGGCUUUUGAAUCCCAUUUCUUUUGAGAUGACUGACCAUGGCUGCAAUGGCUUUCGCGACAUCAUAUUCAGUGGAAGAGGUCUGAAACACAACAAAUAACUGUAUUAAAAAAAGAAAUAAUUAUACAGGUGGCUCCAUUUUUGUUUUCAUUCUUCAAAAGCAAAAGUGACCACAAUAUCUAUCCACUCAAACCUGGUCAUUAAACCUUCCACAUGCCAAAGUGGGCAAGAUCUUUUAUUGACUGCGCUGUCCUGUAGGGGUCCAGGUGACCCCACUCAAAACAGCAAAGUAGUAUUGUAAAGAAUGCAAAUGGGGAGUUCUAAAAUGCAUAAGUGCAAAAACUAAAUAAAUACACAACAUGGACAAGUAGGGUAAACCAAACGUAGAAGUUGGCACCAUCUUGUGGGAGAAAUAAGAAAUUACACAAUUAUGGGAAGAACUGAACCUGGGAAGGGACCCCAGUGGCCGAGAGAGGAACUAAAUGAGAUAAAUGGUGAAAGAAAAAAAAAUUUUUUGGUAAAAUAGAACCCCCCCCCCCACCUCCCCCAAAAAAAGUAAUUGGAAGAAGGGAAGGUUUUAAAAAAAGUACUCCAUAUGUGCCACGGGAAGAAGUACUGAUCCUGGAACUCAUCUUCUAGUGUUAAAAAUAAAUAAAUAAAUAAAUAAAAUAAAAAAA